rnacentral:rRNA from 1 species
UAUUGCACAAUGGGCGAAAGCCUGAUGCAGCAACGCCGCGUGAGGGACGACGGCCUUCGGGUUGUAAACCUCUUUUAGCAGGAAAGAAGCGAAAGUGACGGUACCUGCAGAAAAAGCGCCGGCUAACUACGUGCCAGCAGCCGCGGUAAUACGUAGGGCGCAAGCGUUAUCCGGAAUUAUUGGGCGUAAAGAGCUCGUAGGCGGUCUGUCGCGUCUGCUGUGAAAUUCCGAGGCUCAACCUCGGGCUUGCAGUGGGUACGGGCAGACUAGAGUGCGGUAGGGGAGAUUGGAAUUCCUGGUGUAGCGGUGGAAUGCGCAGAUAUCAGGAGGAACACCGAUGGCGAAGGCAGAUCUCUGGGCCGUUACUGACGCUGAGGAGCGAAAGGGUGGGGAGCAAACAGGCUUAGAUACCCUGGUAGUCCACCCCGUAAACGUUGGGAACUAGUUGUGGGGUCCUUUCCACGGAUUCCGUGACGUAGCUAACGCAUUAAGUUCCCCGCCUGGGGAGUACGGCCGCAAGGCUAAAACUCAAAGGAAUUGACGGGGACCCGCACAAGCGGCGGAGCAUGCGGAUUAAUUCGAUGCAACGCGAAGAACCUUACCAAGGCUUGACAUACACCAGAACGGGCCAGAAAUGGUCAACUCUUUGGACACUGGUGAACAGGUGGUGCAUGGUUGUCGUCAGCUCGUGUCGUGAGAUGUUGGGUUAAGUCCCGCAACGA